AUUUUUACAAUGAAGAGUUUGAUCCUGGCUCAGGAUGAACGCUAGCUACAGGCUUAACACAUGCAAGUCGAGGGGCAGCAUUUCAGUUUGCUUGCAAACUGGAGAUGGCGACCGGCGCACG
rnacentral:rRNA from 1 species